rnacentral:rRNA from 1 species
GACGAAGGGGGCUAGCGUUGUUCGGAAUUACUGGGCGUAAAGGGUGCGUAGGCGGGUCUUUAAGUCAGGGGUGAAAUCCUGGAGCUCAACUCCAGAACUGCCUUUGAUACUGAAGAUCUUGAGUUCGGGAGAGGUGAGUGGAACUGCGAGUGUAGAGGUGAAAUUCGUAGAUAUUCGCAAGAACACCAGUGGCGAAGGCGGCUCACUGGCCCGAUACUGACGCUGAGGCACGAAAGCGUGGGGAGCAAACAGG